CAAUAGCGUAUAUUAAAGUUGUUGCAGUUAAAAAGCUCGUAGUUGGAUUUGUGGUGUGUCCUGUCGGUGUCGAGGCUUUGUCUUGCACACUGCACGGGUCUGCCAUGUUUGGGUGGAAUCUGUGUGGCAUUAGGUUGUCGCGCAGGGGAUGCCCAUCGUUUACUGUGAAAAAAUUAGAGUGUUCAAAGCAGGCUUAUGCCGUUGAAUAUAUUAGCAUGGAAUAAUGAUAUAGGACCUUGGUACUAUUUUGUUGGUUUGCGCACUGAGGUAAUGAUUAAUAGGGACAGUUGGGGGUAUUCGUAUUCCAUUGUCAGAGGUGAAAUUCUUGGAUUUUUGGAAGACGAACUACUGCGAAAGCAUUUACCAAGGAUGUUUUCAUUAA
rnacentral:rRNA from 1 species